rnacentral:rRNA from 1 species
UACAGAGGGGGCAAGCGUUGUUCGGAAUUACUGGGCGUAAAGGGCGCGUAGGCGGCCUGUUAAGUCGAACGUGAAAUCCCCGGGCUCAACCCGGGAACUGCGUCCGAUACUGGCAGGCUUGAAUCCGGGAGAGGGAUGUGGAAUUCCAGGUGUAGCGGUGAAAUGCGUAGAUAUCAGGAAGAACACCCGUGGCGAAGGCGGCUCUCUGGUACGUGACUGACGCUGAGACGCGAAAGCGUGGGGAGCAAACAGG